GCGCCGUUAGCUCAGUCUGGUUUUAGAGCUGCGCACUCUUAAUGCGUAGGGCGGGGGUUCAAAUCCCUCACGGCGUACC
rnacentral:tRNA from 3 species